AGAUCUUUGCCUAGACAUGGGAGGGCGGGGAGACGGAGGAACAAAAGUGGUUUUGUUUGGUGAUGCCUACCCGGAAAGGCAGCGAGCUGUUUGCUUGUUUACAACCAAGGUGAGAGUAAAGUUAUCUACUGAGCGUCCAAAGGGGAGGGGGAGUUGGCUUCUAAGCCAGGGAUCUAUUUGUGGACUUCAAAGAGGCAUGCUCGGAUCAAGUCCCAAAGCUUUGGCAUGAUGUUUAUUAGCCAAGAGAAGUGUAUUGCAAAUUAAUACCCGGAGUGGCAUUUAUGAAUGGGGGGCGGGGGAGGGAAACUUCCCUCUUCGCUGGCAUAUUUCCAGCCAGAGGUCUUCCCUCAUCCCUCCCCCUCUUUUUUUGGUAUGUUGUACUUGUUUGUUUUUGGAGGUUCCCAUUUUUAGUUCCAGCCCACUGCCUGCAUUGGAAAUCCAAGAGGAAACGGGUGCAGAGUUCUCCCGGAGCCUGACGUCCACUUCCUCACGGAGGCCGGAGGCCGGGUCAACCCUCCUGGCCUCUCUCCCUGGACUAGCAGCGGUGGAAACUGAGCAGCCAAAGCAGAAGCGGAGGAGACCACCGUGGGGGUGAUUUGUCCUGAAAUCAUCAACGUCUCGAUCUUGCUUAAGAGAGCCUUCUGCGUUGACUGUUCUAUGAAUGACUCCAGUGAGAAGGAGGAGAAGCUGUUGCGCACACUCCAGUGAAGACAGCUGUUACUGGAAAGAGUUAAGUUCAUUCAUUCAAAAGCGCCCUUUCGUAGGUCCUAGAGGAAUUUGCUAGAGGCGGUAGGUUCUCGAAGGCUUUCUGGGGGUGGGGACUUUUAAAGACAAUGGGUUGUCAAGUGUUAUGCAAAUAAUGAAAGCAAAGCCUAGGCCUCGUCCCCUUGGCCGGCCAAUUUAUUAGUUAGAGAACAGUUCCUCCUACCUACACUUCAUUGUUUCCAUCUUAGGGAAGCACAGGAGGGUAAGGGGUGAGGGUGGAGAAGGCACUGAACAGGGUAGAAGGAGGCGCUGGAGAAACAGAAUGGAGAGGAGGGUUCCUGGCUUCUGUUGUGGCGUCUUUUCUAUUUGACUUCAUGGUUGUAAGUAUUUCCAGAUGGUGAAUCAGACACCAGACGUAACAAUAUUUCCAUAUUUGGGUAUAGCAGUAGCCUGCGUUUUUAACAUUUUUCUCUCUCUGUUAUCCAACCACAAGGCAUUCUUGACAGCUUCAAAUGUUGUUAAAUAUAGACUUAACUUCUGUUCCCAGAGCAGGAAAUUCUUUGGAAUUCCUUGUUUUUCACGCAAUUUGUCUAUCAUGAUUUAAAAUAAAGUUGCAGUGGAUGAUCCAACUGGCCUGAAUGUACUGUGUUCCUUUGCUGUGGGGAGUGGGGGGGGCAGUGGGGGGCUAGAGAUCCAGUAUACUGCACAGCGUUCAGACAGACACACCAUUCCAUAGAUGCCUUUAAAAAUCAGAUGAAAGUUUUCUAACGAGGAUGUGUGGGGUUUUGUUUCUGGACUCCAACUGGGCAAUCUCGGAGAAUGGGAUUGUCCCAGAGGAGACACUGGGAGAACAUUAGCAUCAGCUGUCCAUUUAAAGCAGCGGGUGUGUGGUGAGAAGAGGAGGGGUGCUGGAGUCGGCAAGGCCAGGAGGUGCUGGAAGAGGAGAGGCUGCUGGAACCUCUGUGCAUCGCCUCUGCAGACAGCAUGCGCUGCUUAGCCUGCUGGGAACCAGGAGGAA
rnacentral:lncRNA from 1 species